rnacentral:rRNA from 1 species
GACGAACGCUGGCGGCGUGCCUAAUACAUGCAAGUAGAACGCUGAAGAGAGGAGCUUGCUCUUCUUGGAUGAGUUGCGAACGGGUGAGUAACGCGUAGGUAACCUGCCUUGUAGCGGGGGAUAACUAUUGGAAACGAUAGCUAAUACCGCAUAACAAUGGAUGACCCAUGUCAUUUAUUUGAAAGGGGCAAAUGCUCCACUACAAGAUGGACCUGCGUUGUAUUAGCUAGUAGGUGAGGUAACGGCUCACCUAGGCGACGAUACAUAGCCGACCUGAGAGGGUGAUCGGCCACACUGGGACUGAGACACGGCCCAGACUCCUACGAGAGGCAGCAGUAGGGAAUCUUCGGCAAUGGGGGCAACCCUGACCGAGCAACGCCGCGUGAGUGAAGAAGGUUUUCGGAUCGUAAAGCUCUGUUGUAAGUCAAGAACGAGUGUGAGAGUGGAAAGUUCACACUGUGACGGUAGCUUACCAGAAAGGGACGGCUAACUACGUG